AUACAUACAUGCUUAUGUAUACUAAAAUUGGAACGAUACAGAAAAGAUUAGCAUGGCCCCUGUGCAAGGAGACAUGCAAAUUUGUGAAGUGUUCCAUAUUUUA